GACGUAGGGCGCGAGCGUUGUCCGGAUUUAUUGGGCGUAAAGAGCUCGUAGGCGGCUUGUCGCGUCGUCCGUGAAAACUUGGGGCUCAACCCCAAGCUUGCGGUCGAUACGGGCAGGCUAGAGUUCGGUAGGGGAGACUGGAAUUCCUGGUGUAGCGGUGAAAUGCGCAGAUAUCAGGAGGAACACCGGUGGCGAAGGCGGCAUCCUGGACCGACAUUGACGCUGAGGAGCGAAAGCUAGGGGAGCAAACGGG
rnacentral:rRNA from 1 species